CAGUAGCCGCGGUAAUACGAAGGGGGCUAGCGUUGCUCGGAAUGACUGGGCGUAAAGGGCGCGUAGGCGGUUUAUACAGUCAGAUGUGAAAUUCCUGGGCUCAACCUGGGGACUGCAUUUGAUACGUAUGGACUUGAGUGGAGAAGAGGGUCGUGGAAUUUCCAGUGUAGAGGUGAAAUUCGUAGAUAUUGGAAAGAACACCGGUGGCGAAGGCGGCGACCCGGUCUUUAACUGACGCUGAGGCGCGAAAGCGUGGGGAGCAAACAGGAUUAGAUACCCCAGUAGUCCCUGUCUCUUAUAC
rnacentral:rRNA from 1 species